rnacentral:sRNA from 1 species
CUGAAACCGCCGAAAGAUCGGGACCCGUCUCGGU